AACAAACGCUGGCGGCGUGUCUUAAGCAUGCAAGUUGAGCGGCAAGGAGGAGAGAUCCUCCCUAGAGCGGCGGACUGGUGAGUAACGCGUGGGUAAUCUAUCGUAGGCAUGGGGAUAGUCACUAGAAAUAGUGGGUAAUACCGAAUACGUUCCAUGAGGGGAGUAUUCAUGGAAGAAAGGGUGCUACGGCACUGGCCUUAGGUGAGCUCGCGUCCCAUUAGCUAGUUGGUGAGGUAAAGGCCCACCAAGGCGAUGAUGGGUAGCCGGCCUGAGAGGGUGAACGGCCACACUGGGACUGAGACACGGCCCAGACUCCUACGGGAGGCAGCAGUGGGGAAUCUUCCGCAAUGGGCGCAAGCCUGACGGAGCAACGCCGCGUGGGUGAAGAAGGCCUCGGUUGUAAGACCUGUCUAUGGAGAAGUACAGUGACGGUACCGACUAGGAGGAAGGACCACGGCGUAACUACGUGCCACGCAGCCGCGGUAACUCAUACUCGUA
rnacentral:rRNA from 1 species